rnacentral:rRNA from 1 species
CAGUAGCCGCGGGAAAACGAGGGGGGCAAGCGUUGUUCGGAAUUAUUGGGCGUAAAGGGUGCGUAGGCGGUUUGGCAAGUUUGGUGUGAAAUCUUCGGGCUCAACUCGAAGUCUGCAUCGAAAACUGCCGGGCUUGAGUAUGGGAGAGGUGAGUGGAAUUCCGAGUGUAGAGGUGAAAUUCGUAGAUAUUCGGAGGAACACCAGUGGCGAAGGCGGCUCACUGGUCCAUUACUGACGCUGAGGUGCGAAAGCGUGGGGAGCAAACAGGAUUAGAGACCCCCGUAGUCCCUGUCUCUUAUAC